rnacentral:rRNA from 1 species
UACGUAGGGGGCAAGCGUUGUCCGGAAUCAUUGGGCGUAAAGCGCGUGUAGGCGGCCUCGUAAGUCCGCUCUGAAAGCCUGGGGCUCAACCCCAGGAGGCGGGUGGAUACUGCGAGGCUCGAGUACGGAAGAGGCGAGUGGAAUUCCCGGUGUAGCGGUGAAAUGCGCAGAUAUCGGGAGGAACACCAAUGGCGAAGGCAGCUCGCUGGGACGUUACUGACGCUGAGGAGCGAAAGCAUGGGGAGCGAACAGG